rnacentral:lncRNA from 1 species
CCAGAUCUUACCUGCAAUUCGUGGAGUAAAUAACUUAUUUUUGUGAAAACACCGUAUCUUAGCAGUAAAUUAUAGUGUAAACGGCCUAUAUAUCUGAGAACGCAACAUCUUACCCGCAAUUGAUGGAGUAAAUAACUUGUUUUUCUAAAAACACCAUAUCUUACCGGUAAAUUAUAGUGUAACAGGCCCAUAUAUAUGAGAACCCCACAUCUUACCCAUAAUUCGUGGAGUAAAUAACUU